rnacentral:rRNA from 1 species
UGCAAGUCGAACGUGAUUGGAGGAGCUUGCUCUUCCAUGAAAGUGGCGCACGGGUGCGUAACGCGUAUGCAACCUACCUUUAUCAGGGGGAUAGCCUCUCGAAAGAGAGAUUAACACCGCAUAAAAUCACAAGCUGGCAUCAGCAAAUGAUCAAAUAUUAAUAGGAUGAAGAUGGGCAUGCGUGACAUUAGCUAGUUGGUGGGGUAACGGCCCACCAAGGCGACGAUGUCUAGGGGAUCUGAGAGGAUGACCCCCCACACUGGUACUGAGACACGGACCAGACUCCUACGGGAGGCAGCAGUAAGGAAUAUUGGUCAAUGGGGGCAACCCUGAACCAGCCAUGCCGCGUGCAGGAAGACGGCCCUACGGGUUGUAAACUGCUUUUGUACCAGAAUAACCCCCCGGUUGCGACCGGGGCUGAAAGUAUGGUAAGAAUAAGGAUCGGCUAACUCCGUGCCAGCAGCCGCGGUAAUACGGAGGAUCCAAGCGUUAUCCGGAUUUAUUGGGUUUAAAGGGUGCGUAGGCGGCUUUUUAAGUCAGGGGUGAAAGACGGUGGCUCGACCAUCGCAGUGCCUUUGAUACUGAAGAGCUUGAAUAAACUUGAGGUAGGCGGAAUGUGACAAGUAGCGGUGAAAUGCAUAGAUAUGUCACAGAACACCAAUUGCGAAGGCAGCUUACUAAAGUUUAAUUGACGCUGAGGCACGAAAGCGUGGGGAUCAAACAGGAUUAGAUACCCUGGUAGUCCACGCCCUAAACGAUGAAUACUCGAUGUUAGCGAUAUACAGUUAGCGUCUAAGCGAAAGCGUUAAGUAUUCCACCUGGGGAGUACGCCCGCAAGGGUGAAACUCAAAGGAAUUGACGGGGGCCCGCACAAGCGGAGGAGCAUGUGGUUUAAUUCGAUGAUACGCGAGGAACCUUACCCGGGCUUGAAAGUU